CAAGUGGGCUACACUGACAUCUGAGGUUAGCAGGUUGGAGAGUGAGUGCAGCAGUCUUCAGGUUCAGCUAGACUGUGAGAGGGAUAAGUAUAACAAACUGCUGGGAGAAUCUCUUGCUCAUGAAAAGUUGUCUGAAGAUGUCAUAACUGAACCAAAGGAGAAACAACAGGAUUGGGAGGAACUGAGCUUUAACAGAAGCUGCAACAACUGCAGGAGGCUCACAGGGGUCCUGGAGAGCAGGUUAACUUGCAGCAUGAAGGAUGUGGCUGAGCUGAGUGACAGGAAGUAGCAGCUUGAGCAUGCUGUAGUGCAUGAGGAGACAGAGUCCAUCGGUGACUACAUCACCAUCUACCAGUUGCAGCGAGGAGUGAUGAAGCAACAAGCUCGAGAACGCGAGUUAGACCUUGCCAGCCUCCAUCAUGAAUGAGAGGAAAUGAAGCAAAACCACUCUGCAGUUGCUCUGAGUUGUAGCAGCAGUGACGUGUGGCACCCAGGAUGAAGGUGGUCUGCAGGGUGGUCUGUGUCAGGGGGAUGAUGGCAGACAACAGCAGCAGCACCGUGACAGCUCAAGCAUCCUGUUGAAAUUAUCACUUUUUAAAUGCUGAAAAGUGAAGGAAAAACCUGUCUCCAUGGAAUGUGGAAGUACACAACAACAACUCUGAAAGAUUUCUUACAAUAAUAAGUCAUCAUUCAUUGUAUCCUUUUUUGUUGGCCACAAGAUUAUGAUACAAAUUUUCCAUAGACAUCUGCAAAUUGGUACCUCUAGCUGUUAUUAAAUAUGAUAUUAAGUUUGAUGAAUGUAUUUAUUUCAUUAUACAUGAAAGUUGUUGA